ensembl:lncRNA novel transcript, antisense to SSPN
CACUUCAACCUUGCUCAGGUAUGAGUUACUAAGUCACAUGAAGGACAUGGAAUACCAUUUAAAUCUCUUCAGAGAGAGAGAGAGUUGCGGUCUACGCAGAUGGUAAACUGACGCAAGAAGGCCCUCAGAAGAUGCUGGCACCUUGAUCUUGGACUUCUCAGCCUCUAGAACUGCAGUACAAGCAGCAUGGCUGGGGAGGCCUCAGGAAAUUUACAAUCAUGACGGAAGGUGAAGAGGAAGAAGUCACGUCCUACAUGGCCGUAGCAGGAGGAAGAGAGUGAAGGGGAAGGUGCUACACAAUUUUAAACAGCCAGAUCUCAUGACAACUCACCCAAUAUCAUGAAAACAGCGAGGGGAAAAUCCACCCUCGUGAUCCAGUCACUUCCCCCGCGGCCCCUUUUCCAAUACUGGGGAUUACAAUUCAACAUGAGAUUUGGGCGGGGACACAAAUCCAAACCAGGUCCACUCUCUCAAUAGUCCCAAUGAGAGAUAGUGGCUUUGACUAGGGUGACAGCACUGAAGAUGGUGAGGACUGUCCAGAUUUGAGAAGUAUUUUGGAAUAGAAGAAACAGAACUUGCUGAUAGGUUCAAUGUAGAAAAUUAAUAAAAGAAGAGGACAAAGGAUGAUCCUUAAAAUCAGAGCUCAAUUAACUGGUACAUGGUAGUGUCAUUGACUGAGAAUGAUGAAGACUGGAGGAAGACUACAUGGGUUUGGAGCAAAACAUGGACAUUACGACGUACCAGGCUGGAAUGGUCAUGAUUUCAUACAGUUAUUUCAUAAAAACAACUAUAUUUCAUGAAAUAACUACAUGAAAUCCAAAAGGAGUUAUCAGGUAGGAAGUUGAAUUUAUGAGACUGGAGCUUGCAGUAGAAAAGCAGAGAUGGAAACAUAAAUUUGGGAUUAUCAGCAUAAAGAUGAUAUUGAAGCCAUGAGCCUGGAUGAGAUCAUUCAGUGAGGAAAAGGAGACAAGAGAGGAGGGCAAGAGCAUAUCCAGGAAAACUCAAAUCUUGACAGGCCUUAUUCAUUUUUAUAGCCCUAGCACCUAGUGCUGGCAAAGAGUGUCCGCUUCAGAAAUUGCUGAUAAACACAGGACCAACAUUCUGGGACUCCACACUAUGACGAAUUAAGUUAUAAAAAUUUACCACUAAGUAAAUUAUAGUAAAAACAAAGGUAAUAAAUAAUCAAAGCCCAUCAGUUCCUAGAUAUUUUACAACAUUUUACUAUUAUUUUACUGUUUACCACAUUUUACUAUUAUCUUACUAUUUACCACAUUUUACUAUUUGCUUUUCAGAUUAGUUAUUACAUCUAUUAUACUUUCCUAACUCCACUGUCAGUGAUGCCACAUUAGUAGUGGUGGGAGUAUUUACACCAUGGAAAUUGGCAAGUGCUACAAAUUUAUUAUUUUGCCAAUUGUUGGACUCAAAAAAGAGAUAGAGAAAAUGUUAAUCAGGCAGAUUCCAUUUAAAAGUGUCACAUUUAUAGUUAUCACAUUGUGAAUAGCACACAAAAAUAGGGAAAUAUUUUUCCAGUAUGUGAAAAUUAUUACCUGAUUUAGUGAAAACAUUGCUCAUAUCAAUGAUGAAUAAAUGAGGUUCUAACAAAUGUCUUCACUGUAUGACUUUCACCUUAAUCAUUAACAUAAAGGAAAAUUUCAAUCAACAUUAAUGUCAGAAUUACACUUGGGAAUUAAUUGCACUC